GAUGAACGCUGGCGGCGUGCCUAAUACAUGCAAGUCGAGCGAACAGACGAGGAGCUUGCUCCUCUGACGUUAGCGGCGGACGGGUGAGUAACACGUGGAUAACCUACCUAUAAGACUGGGAUAACUUCGGGAAACCGGAGCUAAUACCGGAUAAUAUAUUGAGCCGCAUGGUUCAAUAGUGAAAGACGGUUUUGCUGUCACUUAUAGAUGGAUCCGCGCCGCAUUAGCUAGUUGGUAAGGUAACGGCUUACCAAGGCAACGAUGCGUAGCCGACCUGAGAGGGUGAUCGGCCACACUGGAACUGAGACACGGUCCAGACUCCUACGGGAGGCAGCAGUAGGGAAUCUUCCGCAAUGGGCGAAAGCCUGACGGAGCAACGCCGCGUGAGUGAUGAAGGUCUUCGGAUCGUAAAACUCUGUUAUUAGGGAGGAACAAAUGUGUAAGUAACUAUGCACGUCUUGACGGUACCUAAUCAGAAAGCCACGGCUAACUACGUG
rnacentral:rRNA from 1 species